rnacentral:piRNA from 1 species
UCCAAGAAGGAAACCUCAAGCCUGAAU